UACGUAGGGUGCGAGCGUUAAUCGGAAUUACUGGGCGUAAAGCGUGCGCAGGCGGUUUUGUAAGCCAGAUGUGAAAGCCCCGGGCUUAACCUGGGAAUGGCAUUUGGGACUGCAAGGCUGGAGUGCGGCAGAGGAGACUGGAAUUCCUGGUGUAGCAGUGAAAUGCGUAGAUAUCAGGAGGAAUACCGAUGGCGAAGGCAGGUCUCUGGGCUGACACUGACGCUCAUGCACGAAAGCGUGGGGAGCAAACAGG
rnacentral:rRNA from 1 species